rnacentral:rRNA from 1 species
CGAAUGCUGACAUAAGUAACGAUAAAGCGGGUGAAAAGCCCGCUCGCCGGAAGACCAAGGGUUCCUGUCCAACGUUAAUCGGGGCAGGGUGAGUCGACCCCUAAGGCGAGGCCGAAAGGCGUAGUCGAUGGGAAACAGGUUAAUAUUCCUGUACUUGGUGUUACUGCGAAGGGGGGACGGAGAAGGCUAUGUUGGCCGGGCGACGGUUGUCCCGGUUUAAGCGUGUAGGCUGGUUUUCCAGGCAAAUCCGGAAAAUCAAGGCUGAGGCGUGAUGACGAGGCACUACGGUGCUGAAGCAACAAAUGCCCUGCUUCCAGGAAAAGCCUCUAAGCAUCAGGUAACAUCAAAUCGUACCCCAAACCGACACAGGUGGUCAGGUAGAGAAUACCAAGGCGCUUGAGAGAACUCGGGUGAAGGAACUAGGCAAAAUGGUGCCGUAACUUCGGGAGAAGGCACGCUGAUAUGUAGGUGAGGUCCCUCGCGGAUGGAGCUGAAAUCAGUCGA